rnacentral:rRNA from 1 species
GUAGUCAUAUGCUUGUCUCAAAGAUUAAGCCAUGCAUGUCUAAGUAUAAGCAAUCUAUACAGUGAAACUGCGAAUGGCUCAUUAAAUCAGUUAUCGUUUAUUUGAUAGUACAUUACUACUUGGAUAACCGUGGUAAUUCUAGAGCUAAUACAUGCUAAAAAUCCCGACCUCUGGAAGGGGUGUAUUUAUUAGAUAAAAAACCAAUGCCUUCGGGCUCCUUGGUGAUUCAUGAUAACUUUACGAAUCGCAUGGCCUUGUGCCGGCGAUGGUUCAUUCAAAUUUCUGCCCUAUCAACUUUCGAUGGUAGGAUAGUGGCCUACCAUGGUUUCAACGGGUAACGGGGAAU